GGACUCGGAUAGGCAUGGUUGCAUUACUAUAUAUCCUUGAGUCAUUUGCAAAUAAUGCUUCAUCAGUCUCCUUAUAAUUUGCUUCUAAGCUCACUAAUUUGUUCAUGUUCUAUUUAUGCCUUAUGACAGUGUUAGUUCUUUUCAAAAGUAUAAUGUGCAUUAUAUGCAUUUUGUUUGGUUCUUCAAUAUCUUAUUCCAUCUUUAAAAAUUCCCUCGUCCCUAAAUCAUAUUUGAUAUGAGGUAUUACUUUGUGGUACUACAUCAAAAGCACUUGGAUACUUUACAAAUCAGUGCAAAUAUGUACAAUGUGCUCUUAAUUUAUUAAUUAAUAUUAUUCUUUCAGUUUCUUCAAAGCCAG
rnacentral:misc_RNA from 1 species